GCCUGAGUGGCUCAGUUGUUUAAGCAUCCGACUUUAGUUCGGGUCAUGAUGUCCCAGUUCGUGAGUUCGAGCCCCAUGUCGGGCU
rnacentral:tRNA from 1 species